GGGGUGGUAGCUCAGAGGCAGAGCGCUCGUCUACCACUUGAGAGGCCCUGGGUUCAAACUUCAGCACCACA
rnacentral:tRNA from 1 species